UUGAAUGUUAAGCUUGCGAAUACCUAUGAAUUGUCAUGAUAAUUGCAAGUUCUGAAAACGCGAAGUUGACCAAUCGAUCUAUGUAAUGAGAUGUAUGGUUUUGUUUUGUGUUAUUAAUUUAAUUUUACUUGAGGACAAGCAAAAGUUCAAGUUUGGGGGUGUGUUAAGUGUAUAUUUAUACACUUAAUUGUACCUUUUAAUUGGAGCUUUUGAUGUGUUUUUACGAUAAUUGGUGCUUAAUAUGGCUAUUAUUUGUAUUUUAGGUGCAAAUUGAAGAAUUGGCAACUUUUGG
rnacentral:lncRNA from 1 species